GAUGAACGCUGGCGGCGUGCCUAAUACAUGCAAGUCGAGCGAACAGAUGAGGAGCUUGCUCCUCUGACGUUAGCGGCGGACGGGUGAGUAACACGUGGAUAACCUACCUAUAAGACUGGGAUAACUUCGGGAAACCGGAGCUAAUACCGGAUAAUAUAUUGAACCGCAUGGUUCAAUAGUGAAAGACGGUUUUGCUGUCACUUAUAGAUGGAUCCGCGCCGCAUAGCUAGUUGGUAAGGUAACGGCUUACCAAGGCAACGAUGCGUAGCCGACCUGAGAGGGUGAUCGGCCACACUGGAACUGAGACACGGUCCAGACUCCUACGGGAGGCAGCAGUAGGGAAUCUUCCGCAAUGGGCGAAAGCCUGACGGAGCAACGCCGCGUGAGUGAUGAAGGUCUUCGGAUCGUAAAACUCUGUUAUUAGGGAAGAACAAAUGUGUAAGUAACUAUGCACGUCUUGACGGUACCUAAUCAGAAAGCCACGGCUAACUACGUG
rnacentral:rRNA from 1 species